rnacentral:sRNA from 1 species
AACGUUGCCAACGAAAAGUGAAAAAGCCAAAAACAUAGUACGUUACCCGGAAAGAGUUUGAGGAAUGCAAGGUCAUGGUUGAUCGAAGGUUCGCAAACAUUGAAGCGGAGUUGAGAGACUUCAAAGUAGAAGUUAGAGAAACUUUUAAAGUUGUGCUUCAGAGCCUUCAAGCCAUCAACGAACGUUUAGAUAGGUUUGAAUACAAGAAAUAACAUUUCUUCAACAGAAAACGCC